UACGUAGGUGGCAAGCGUUAUCCGGAUUUACUGGGUGUAAAGGGCGUGUAGGCGGGAAAGCAAGUCAGAUGUGAAAACCAUGGGCUCAACCUGUGGCCUGCAUUUGAAACUGUUUUUCUUGAGUACUGGAGAGGCAGACGGAAUUCCUAGUGUAGCGGUGAAAUGCGUAGAUAUUAGGAGGAACACCAGUGGCGAAGGCGGUCUGCUGGACAGCAACUGACGCUGAGGCGCGUAAGCGUGGGGAGCAAACAGG
rnacentral:rRNA from 1 species